UACAACAACGCUGUGUGGAUACAAGAAUUUCGGGGCUCCGAGGCCGGCAUCAGUUACAUCCUACAGACGACGUACGACCACAUGCCGGUGUUUGAGACGAUCUACGGAGACCGUGACGGAGGGUAUGUAUUCUCCAACUCUGCCUUCGUCAACACGACGUUAGGUAUCAAGAACCCGGAUGUGUUUACCCCGCCCCCUAGCUGCAAGGGAGCGAACUACGAGCCUCCUGUUUCAAGAAGACUUGGGUUUAUGACGUUCUGACGUUCUGAGAUAUUGAUCGUAUAAUUGCCUUAGAGACUUGUGCAAGUCUAAUACCAGAUACAUUUCAUCCAAUAUACUAUGUAUGUGUAAGUAUGCAUGUACGCAUUAACCUCUUAGCGUCUCUGUGACCGGUAUGCCAAUGUGUUACUUUAAGUUCAUAGAACAUAUAUAUGCUAAUUUAAUAUUUUACUUUGACAAUGUAUAUUUGAAAAAGAAUUGUUUACACCUGACCGACCGUUCAGCAUUUUGAGUGUGUCACCGUGCGUGCGUGGUCGGGGAUUAGAGGGGGCAUUAGGAUUUUUUUUUUAUGGAAAUACGAUAUUUUUUCAGUCUAAACCUUCAGGGCAUCCAGCGUACAAUUUAUUUCGUUUGACAUUUUGUUUUGAGUAUGAACCGAAUCCCUCCAAGAAUAUCAAAUGGUCGGUUAGUUACGUCUUCAUUUGGGAUGCGACAGAAUAGCACAGUUUUCUCGGAAUUAAUAACUGCUUGGCAAAUUAUCUUCCAGGUUCAUGACUAGUGUGACUGUUACCUAACAUGUAUUUGUAUGAAAUGUAUAUGCUUCAAGUUAAUCGUAAUGACGUCAAACAAUUUGUAUGACGUCAUCGUGACAUCAGAGUAUGGUAUCAGAUAUCACGUAACGACGGUGUACCCUGGCUAUGCGCAUCGCCACCAGCAAGCACUGCUCAAACUUUGAGGGCGGAUGUCGGAUAUAUAGCCGUUUGGAACUCGCGGCUAAUUAUAUGGUUUAAAGGUGCACGUGCUGAAUGGUGCACAUGCCAGACACCAGAAGGUCGCAGGGGUCAGUACGGAACUGUGUUUCUGUUGAUGACCACGCGAUGUAGGGCUCCUUAGAAACAGGCACGUUUGUGUUUGAUGCUGGGUGGUGUUUGUUGAUAUUUAUACCUCGAAUGGAGGAUUGGUUUUGCCUGGAGGACGUUAUGUGAAUAUUUCUUCGUCGUAGGGAGAAAAUGCGAAUUCUUAACAAGCUGUAGUAUCGAUAGCAAAUGGCGCCUCUCAUCAGGAGGCCAUACUGUACUUGAUCUUUUCUAUAGGGUCUGGAUGUUUAACAAAGCUCUGGUUCAAAGGUUGAAUGGCAUUACAUGCAAUAGAGAAAUCACGAGGAUCUGCUGAUUCCUGGUUCUACUACCGGAAUCAACAUAUUCGAGUGGUUCUGUUACUUAAACCGUGAUAUGGUUGAUGUUUAAUUUCUGUAUACGUUUGCUUAAUGAUUACAGUUGCAUCUGUUUCACGUGUUUAAAAUGCCAGUCAGAAUUGCGUGUAAAUUCCUGGCUCAGAAUCAAUUGCAAGAACAUUAGCGUGACGUAGUCGUUGAUGGUUUAAACUUAGUGAAUUUAAUUUGAAAAUGGUCUUUUCAUCCUGACUUAUCGUGACAGACAUUAAGACUAAAAGGUGACGGAUGGAAUUGUUUGUUUAACUCGCAUUUUUUAUUCGAGUAGUUAGAAGAUUAAUAAGACGCCAUUGGAAACGGUGCUAUGAGACUGACAUGCGCUAUUUUAUCAGACACAGGUUAUACCCAAACAUACCUCUAUGAAUUAAAAACUGUUAAACAAAAAUACAUGAAUAUUAAAUUUUGUGAAAAUGGCAUCAUUGUCGAUGUUUUCUUUACACAACAAAACGAACAAGUAAAAAGGAAACGAGUUGCUUUGUUUGACACCCGGUGUGAGUGACAAGGUGACAACACGCCGCGAAUAUUGACGACUGACCUGUUUGACCUUGACGUAGAUGCAGACGACAUAAUACUAUAGUGACGGACUUC
rnacentral:lncRNA from 1 species